UACGGGAGGCAGCAGUGGGGAAUAUUGCACAAUGGGCGAAAGCCUGAUGCAGCUAUGCCGCGUGUAUGAAGAAGGCCUUAGGGUUGUAAAGUACUUUCAUCGGGGAGGAAAAAACAAAACUAAUAAUUUUAUUUCUUGACGUUACCCGAAAAAGAAGCACCGGCUAACUCCGUGCCAGCAGCCGCGGUAAUACGGAGGGUGCUAGCGUUAAUCAGAAUUACUGGGCGUAAAGAGCACGUAGGUGGUUUUUUUAAAGUCAGAUGUGAAAUCCCUGGGCUUAACCUGGAACUGCAUUUUGAAACUGAAAUACUAGAGUAUCGUAGAGGGAGGUAGAAUUCUAGGUGUAGCGGUGAAAUGCGUAGAUAUCUGGAGGAAUACCUGUGGCGAAAGCGGCCUCCUAAACGAAUACUGACACUGAGGUGCGAAAGCGUGGGGAGCAAAACAGGGAUUAGAUACCCGU
rnacentral:rRNA from 1 species